rnacentral:rRNA from 1 species
GCCGGGGGGGCGUGCUUACCAUGCAAGUCGAACGAUGAACCGCUUUCGGGCGGGGAUUAGUGGCGAACGGGUGAGUAACACGUGGGCAAUCUGCCCUGCACUCUGGGACAAGCCCUGGAAACGGGGUCUAAUACCGGAUAUGACUGUCCAUCGCAUGGUGGAUGGUGUAAAGCUCCGGCGGUGCAGGAUGAGCCCGCGGCCUAUCAGCUUGUUGGUGAGGUAGUGGCUCACCAAGGCGACGACGGGUAGCCGGCCUGAGAGGGCGACCGGCCACACUGGGACUGAGACACGGCCCAGACUCCUACGGGAGGCAGCAGUGGGGAAUAUUGCACAAUGGGCGAAAGCCUGAUGCAGCGACGCCGCGUGAGGGAUGACGGCCUUCGGGUUGUAAACCUCUUUCAGCAGGGAAGAAGCGAAAGUGACGGUACCUGCAGAAGAAGCGCCGGCUAACUACGUGCCAGCAGCCGCGGUAAUACGUAGGGCGCAAGCGUUGUCCGGAAUUAUUGGGCGUAAAGAGCUCGUAGGCGGCUUGUCACGUCGGUUGUGAAAGCCCGGGGCUUAACCCCGGGUCUGCAGUCGAUACGGGCAGGCUAGAGUUCGGUAGGGGAGAUCGGAAUUCCUGGUGUAGCGGUGAAAUGCGCAGAUAUCAGGAGGAACACCGGUGGCGAAGGCGGAUCUCUGGGCCGAUACUGACGCUGAGG